UGCAAGUCGAACGAGAACCUCCCUUCGGGGAGGGGACAGUGGCGCACGGGUGAGUAACACGUGGGUAAUUUACCUUUGGGUGGGGAACAACAGCCGGAAACGGCUGCUAAUACCGCAUAAUGCAGCGGCUCGACAUCGAGACAGUUGCUAAAGCGGGGGAUCGCAAGACCUCGCGCCUAAAGAGAAGCCCGCGGCAGAUUAGCUAGUUGGUAGGGUAAUGGCCUACCAAGGCAACGAUCUGUAACCGGCCUGAGAGGGCGGUCGGUCACACUGACACUGACAUACGGGUCAGACUCCUACGGGAGGCAGCAGUCGGGAAUUUUGGGCAAUGGGCGAAAGCCUGACCCAGCAACGCCGCGUGAAGGAUGAAGCUUUUCGGAGUGUAAACUUCACAAGAAUGGGAAGAAUAAGUGUGGGAUAAUACCCUUCACGAUGACGGUACCAUUUGUAAGCUCCGGCUAACUCCGUGCCAGCAGCCGCGGUAAUACGGGGGGAGCAAGCGUUGUUCGGAUUUACUGGGCGUAAAGGGCGCGUAGGCGGCGCGACAAGUCACUUGUGAAAUCUCUGGGCUCAACCCAGAACGGUCAAGUGAUACUGUCGUGCUAGAGUGCGGAAGGGGCAACUGGAAUUCUUGGUGUAGCGGUGAAAUGCGUAGAUAUCAAGAGGAACACCUGCGGCGAAGGCGGGUUGCUGGGCCGACACUGACGCUGAGGCGCGAAAGCCAGGGGAGCGAACGGGAUUAGAUACCCCGGUAGUCCUGGCCUUAAACGAUGAAUGCUUGGUGUCCGGGGUUAGAUAGUCCUCGGGUGCCGUCGCUAACGCUUUAAGCAUUCCGCCUGGGGAGUACGUGCGCAAGCAUGAAACUCAAAGGAAUUGACGGGACCCGCACAAGCGGUGGAGCAUGUGGUUUAAUU
rnacentral:rRNA from 1 species